rnacentral:rRNA from 1 species
AUUGAACGCUGGCGGCAGGCCUAACACAUGCAAGUCGAGCGGAUGAAGGGAGCUUGCUCCUGGAUUCAGCGGCGGACGGGUGAGUAAUGCCUAGGAAUCUGCCUGGUAGUGGGGGAUAACGUCUGGAAACGGGCGCUAAUACUGCAUACGUCCUGAGGGAGAAAGUGGGGGAUCUUCGGACCUCACGCUAUCAGAUGAGCCUAGGUCGGACUAGCUAGUUGGUGGGGUAAAGGCCUACCAAGGCGACGAUCCGUAACUGGUCUGAGAGGAUGAUCAGUCACACUAGAACUGAGACACGGUCCAGACUCCUACGGGAGGCAGCAGUGGGGAAUAUUAGACAGUGGGCGAGAGCCUGGUCCAACCAUGCCGCGUGUGUGAAGAAGGUCUUCGGAUUGUAAAGCACUUUAAGUUGGGGGGAAGGGCAGUAAGUUAAUACCUUGCUGUUUUGACGGUACCAACAGAAUAAGCACCGGCUAACUUCGUG